UACGUAGGGUGCGAGCGUUAAUCGGAAUUACUGGGCGUAAAGGGUGCGCAGGCGGUUUUGUAAGCCAGAUGUGAAAUCCCGGGGCUUAACCUGGGAAUGGCAUUUGGGACUGCAAGGCUAGAGUGUGGCAGAGGAGACUGGAAUUCCUGGUGUAGCAGUGAAAUGCGUAGAUAUCAGGAGGAAUACCGAUGGCGAAGGCAGGUCUCUGGGCUAACACUGACGCUCAUGCACGAAAGCGCGGGGAGCAAACAGG
rnacentral:rRNA from 1 species